AGAAGGAGAAAACAUCUCCCCUUUGUAGCAGGCUAAUUUAAUUUGUACCUUCCACCUAGGGGUAAAUAUGUUUGUCUGUCUGUCUGAGCUUUUUGCCUACUUUCUUUUCUCACGGGAAACCCUACUGAGUCGAAAGCAGGAAAUUGCUUAGUGCUCUAACUUUAUUUUAAAGUAAUUUAAUUUUAAACCUUCUCACACCCACCCUAAAGUGAAGCAACUGUUGGAAGCCCCUUGGGAUACCCUUAAUGACUUCUGCAUGUCUCCUGUGUCACAGAUGUCAAAGGCUUCUUGUUUGGAGAUCAUUUUUCUAAAGUCAUCACAAAGCAGUCAAAAACUUUAAAAUAUGACAAAUCCUGUAAAUAUCCUGGUCUUGCAGGGAAAAUUGCUUUGAAGAAUGCAGCAAAUUAUUUUGUAUACUACAUCCAAGGCUACUGAACCAGAAGAAUAAGGACAUACUGCUUGUGAGUUCAGCUGGAUCAAUAGCUCAGCCCUGGGAUUUGCUCGUCUGCUGGAUACUGAAUGAAAAGCACUAAGCUGCCAGUUUGUUCCAUGGAUAUAGAAGACCUCAAUGCAGGCAAGAGACAUUUUUCAUAAGACAGAAAGCAGCUUACCUGUAAAAAUGUUUAGAUAUAUGAGCACACAACAUACAGAGACUAUGAAAUGUACUUGCAGAUAUUGUACGAAAUUCUCCCUUCCUGCCUAUUACUCAAGAGAAAGAAUGUGUAAACACACACACACAUGCACACACACACACACACAACCAUAUACAGAAAUAUAUAUUUGUAGAAUGCCUUUAUUCCAAAGACCUCAAAGCACUCCACAACAUGAUCAAAUCCAUUCCUGCGUCUCUGUGAGUAAAAAGUAAGUGUUUGUGAUUA